rnacentral:rRNA from 1 species
CAAUAGCGUAUAUUAAAGUUGUUGCGGUUAAAAAGCUCGUAGUUGGAUUUCUGCCGAGGACGACCGGUCCGCCCUCUGGGUGAGUAUCUGGCUCGGCCUGGGCAUCUUCUUGGAGAACGUAUCUGCACUUGACUGUGUGGUGCGGUAUCCAGGACUUUUACUUUGAGGAAAUUAGAGUGUUCACGGCAGGCUAACGCCUUGAAUAUAUUAGCAUGGAAUAAUAAUAUAGGAUCUUGGGUCUAUUUUGUUGGUUUCUAGAGCUAAGAUAAUGAUUAAUAGGGACAAUUGGGGGCAUUCGUAUUAACACGUCAGAGGUGGAAUUCUUGGAUUGUGUUACGACGAACUACUGCGAAAGCAUUUGCCAAGGAUGUUUUCAUUGAUCAAGAACGAAAGUUAGGGGAUCGAAGAUGAUCAGAUACCGU